rnacentral:tRNA from 1 species
GCGAUCGUGGCGGAAUUGGUAGACGCGCUGGAUUCAGGUUCCAGUGGGUAACACCGUGGGGGUUCGAGUCCCCCCGAUCGCA